GAUGAACGCUGGCGGCGUGCCUAAUACAUGCAAGUCGAGCGAACAGACGAGGAGCUUGCUCCUCUGACGUUAGCGGCGGACGGGUGAGUAACACGUGGAUAACCUACCUAUAAGACUGGGAUGACUUCGGGAAACCGGAGCUAAUACCGGAUAAUAUAUUGAACCGCAUGGUUCAAUAGCGGAAGACGGUUUUGCUGUCACUUAUAGAUGGAUCCGCGCCGCAUUAGCUAGUUGGUAAGGUAACGGCUUACCAAGGCAACGAUGCGUAGCCGACCUGAGAGGGUGAUCGGCCACACUGGAACUGAGACACGGUCCAGACUCCUACGGGAGGCAGCAGUAGGGAAUCUUCCGCAAUGGGCGAAAGCUUGACGGAGCAACGCCGCGUGAGUGAUGAAGGUCUUCGGAUCGUAAAACUCUGUUAUUAGGGAAGAACAAAUGUGUAAGUAACUAUGCACGUCUUGACGGUACCUAAUCAGAAAGCCACGGCUAACUACGUG
rnacentral:rRNA from 1 species